AACGCACCCUGCGCUCCUUGGUAUUCCGAGGAGCAUGCCUGUUUGAGUGUCAUUAAAUUCUCAACCUUAUCAGUUUUGUAAUGAAACUGUGUGAAGGCUUGGAUAUGGGGGUUGCAGGUCCGCUUCGGUGGUCUGCUCUUCUGAAAUGUAUUAGUGGGUUAGGCCCCUAAUCUAUUGGUGUGAUAAUUAUCUACGCCGUGGAUUGGAUGGCUGUUAUAGACCUGCUUAUAACCGUCCCUCACAGGACAACUUUGACAUUUUUGACCUCAAAUCAGGUAAGACUACCCGCUGAACUUAA
rnacentral:misc_RNA from 1 species